ACCGCUUUUACUCUCUACGGUGAAACCGCUCCCGACCUCGCUCCGAUCUCCUCCACACUGCGACCUCGCUCCGAUCUCAUUCUCGCUGCAAUCUCGCUCCGGUCUUGCUCCGUUCACGAUCUCGCUCCGACAUGGACUCGAUUCUCUUCGUUGUAUUUCUCCUUCUCUCUAUAAAUUGUUGUUCGUUUUCUAUCCCUCUCUCGUGGUUGUUAUUCUUCGUUGAAAUUUGAUGUUCUCCUCUGUUUUUUCUCCAAUUGUAGUGUAUGUUAAAUUUCAACACUCUAAUUUAGUUCUUUUUCACUAAUUGUGCUUUGGAUUUGAACCCUAUGAAUUUCAUGUUUAGGUUUUGCAUAAAUUGAAUUCAUUAGGUUUUGCAAAAAUUGAAUUUAGGUUACUGAAUUUGUUCACCAAAUUGACAAUUAGGUUUUGCAAAAUUUGAAUUCAGGUUACUGAAUUCACUUUACUUUAUGCGAUAGAAUUAGAUGAUACUUAUUGGAUUGAUUCUAUAAUUCACAUUUCCGGUGGCUGGUAUUUAGAUGAUACAUAAUUCUUAUUCUUACAAAAAAACUUUGUGUUGAGAUAAUAAUCCCUCUGUAUAUUGAUUGUCACUUUCUUUAUAUGUGUUCAUAAUGAUUGCCUUUUUUCUAGUGUAGGUGAUUUGUGAUAUGGUUUAGUAAGUUAACAAAUGCAGCUUUUUUUCAUAGAUUAUUCAUAUAAACCUUAGCAGCUAUGUCUUUUGAUAAAAAAUGAAUUGAAAGUUAGACGAAAGCCUUACAUAGCUUAGAGGUAUGCAUGCCUUAGUAUGAAUAUACUUAUGUAGUUAUAACUUAUGACAGUAUAUAGAUAGCUAUCCAAUGUAUAAUUUUCAGCGUUCAAAAUAACACUUCUUCAGUCAAGUCUUCAUUGCAAACUACUUUAUAGCUAUACUUAUUGUGAAGGGAUUAUUUAUAUUUGAUGGAUUGUAAUGAGUAGUGUACGGUGCCUGUAGUCUUUGAUACUUUCAAUUUGAAAUUUGAGUUUCUUUUGUUUUUGUAUGCUUAAUUACUGUUUGGCAAAUAGACAUGUGAAAAUGCAUUGCGGUGCAUUGGUAAUAAUGAUAUGUUCAAAAGCUUGGAAGAAGUGUUUUUCCUGAAAAUUUGAAGGCUACUACAAUCAGCGAGAUUACUAGGCUCAGGAACGUUGCAAUGACAUCAAUUACUUCACGCUCUGUGGUUGAUGAACGGACUAUCCAGAUGCCGGUAAGUCUACAACAAGAGACAAAUACUUUACUUCAGUGGUCAGAUACCAAAGUAGAGAAAGCUGGUAAGUUCAUUUACUGGUGUUUCUUGAUUGUGGAUGCCACAUUUAUCUUCUGCUAAUUUGCUUCCUUAAUCUAAUCAUUUUAAGAUGUUUGUUGAAAGUUGACUGCUUCUAACUUCUAAAUUUAGAUUUAGGUGAUGAAAGUUACUUUUGUUUUACUUGUUUGACCAGAUUAUUCCAAAAUAACUUGUAUUGGUCCUCAGACAAAGAGUAGGAAGAAUUCUUCCCAUGAGUUUUUGUCAUAUCAAAAUGCGGAAGACUAUCCAAGUUUUUGUUAUUACUAUUGUCUGUUACUCUGACAUUGGAAGUAGCGGUUGAUUGUGUAGGAGAACGUAUAUUUUGUGUUGGUUCAGUUCGCUACAUAAUGGAUCCUUCCAGGCGGACACUUCAGAGGAUUUCAGGUGAAUGACAUUUUGAAAUUUCUUAUCAUUUUAUGAGCUAGUGGCCUGUCAAAUUCUAAAAACUCUGCAUCUAUGUUCUCCAUAAAGGGGUUGUUAGUCGAGUAUGAUGAUGAUUAAGGUGCAGGAAUAAAAUGCAGAUCUGGUUUUGUAUACAAUACUCCACAAUAAUUUGUUUGCAUUAUAUUGUAGAUUGUAUGUUUGGACAAGGAGAGGUUCUAAUUCUGUAACAUGAAAUAAAAUAAAAUCAUUAAGUUCCUUUCUUUUUCUGCCAUGCUGGGGAUAUUAGUAGUAGUAUGGCCGUUAUGGUCAUUCGUUUAUUUUCUGUUGGUCCUAUCUUUAUAUUGUUUUGAAUACUUUUAUCUCUUCCAAGCAAGUUAAUAGGUUUUAUCACUAUAUUGAUAUUACAAAGUUUACCUUAAUUUUCUUUGUAGAUGAUGAAUCCCUGUCCUCUGCCUCAAUCAAUCUGGUUUGCUCAUGUUGUUUUAUCUUUUAAAAGAUGAAUUGGUCUCUCUCAUACUUGGCUGAUGUCAUGUUUUCUUUAUAAAUUGAUAUCACAGUUUUUAAUGGUGUUAUGUAGUUUUAUUUAAUGUACUUAUUUCAUGUCGAUCAUCUGUGUAUCUAUGUGUGAAAGUUAACAAGUUUUCCUUUACAAUAACUCAAAAUGGUGGCGUAAUUUUGUUGGAAUGCGAUCAUAUCAGAUGCAGGUUGUUACUACCUUAAUAUCACUAUGAUAAUAAUGUAGAUUUUGUUGUUAGCAUGACAUAUGCAAUGUUAUCCUUGUUAGAGAAACUAAAUGUGGUCCAAGGAGAUAUCUUAAAAUUCUUGUUUUGUGAUAGUUUGACCUUCUACUGAAGUUUCUUAAUAUUGUGUCUGGUUUUGGUCCAACUUCUGGUUCAGCUCUUACCAGCCAUAUGGAUGUUGACAAGGGUAGGUUGCUUAAUUUGUAUCUGUUAUUGAUCCAGCAAGGAAUCCGUCAAGACUCUUCUCCAAAGACUCUGGAUAUUGUCAAUCUACUGCAUAAUAAUACUGAAUCAUUCUGCCUCCACGUCGCAGAAAGGAAGUUGACUUGGUUAAGGACGACAUCAAAAUCAUAGACAUCCCUGUGCACUUGGUUAAGGUAUAUUCAACAAUGGAGUUUCUUUAUGAUGUUUUUGUGUGUGUCUGUAUUCAGCAAUGGAGUUCAUUUAUGACUUGGGUCAAUUAAUGGAAAGGGGGAAAUAUUGGUACUUCCUUUAACCCUUAAAAUCUUUGAAAAUUUCCAAGUAUAAUGCGUAUUUGCUUCAUUUAAUUUAGCUUUUUUCAAAUUUGUAACGGAUGAUAAUUAAUUUAUAAUUAGCUCUGUUUUGGGCAUGGUUUCAUAA